UACACUGCAUGGUAUCUGCAUUCAGCAGUUUAUUCCUGCUGGGUGUUCAAAGGACAGUGCGAUAUAAAUUCAGUAUCUGGCAUCGUUGGUUUUCUCGGCUUCAAGCAUGUUAAACCUGGUAAUUUGGCGCGUCGUGCG
rfam:Myotis lucifugus cont2.43732, whole genome shotgun sequence.